UGAAGAGGUCAUCAGUGUGAUCA
rnacentral:piRNA from 1 species